GCGGACGUGGCCAAGUGGAUUAAGGCAGUGGAUUGUGGAUCCACCACGCGCGGGUUCAAUUCCCGU
rnacentral:tRNA from 3 species